ACCGCCUCAAAGCGUCCAUGUCUCCUCCCUUCAGCCUCCCCACCUCUACUACCCCCCACCACAAUCGGUUCCUAACCUCACCCAAUCUAAACCUGAUCUCUCUCCCCCAGCCCUCACAACCCAGUCCCCCGCCUAAUCACAGCAUCGCGGCGGAUUUGUUGCUUUAGAUCCACCGCAACCUAGGGUGUCCGCCACGAUCUGGGCUAGAUCGUGGUGGAUCGGGUGAGAUCACAAAGCAGUCGCAUUCUUCUGCCACGGUCUGGCCGAUUCCGGUUUGUAGUUAUUUUUUUUUUCUUCUCUCCCUCCUUAAAUGGCGACCAAGCAGUAGGUGAUUUUUCCUUUUUGGUUGUUAGAUAAAUAAGAAAUUGGUGACAAUCGAUCACAUUUGGUUUUAUUUAGGUGUACUGAUAGUUAUGAAAAGGAGGGUGCCCGGAUCUCAUCGGAAAUGUCACGGCCUCCACAAAAUCAACCACCAGCACCUCCGCUACCGCAUAAAACGCCACAUCCUCACCAAUUUCUUAUUUCCUAACACCCAAAUUUCAUCGGUCGUCACCAAUUUCUUAUUCUCCUAUGGUCAGCCAAGCAGAAUCAUCCGUGAGGUCUCCAAUAUUUCAUGGCAAAAAGUAUUUGGACCGAUUCAACCGGGCACUUUUGAACGUGGGUAUUACCUCAUGGGAUACAUGAAAGAUAUAGUUGAGAAUGGGUUGACAUUACUAAAAAACAAUUUCAUGGGAAAAGAAAGAUACACACGAGCCGAGAUGGAUGAAAUUAGAGGAGAAUGGGCAAUGUAUGUAUCAAAAUUUUUUUACACUUUCUUGGACCUGGUCUGACCGGUUUGUACUAGAGUUUUAAGUUUUUACCAACCUUUCUCAUCGGUCGUCACCAAUUUCUUAUUCUCCUAUGGUCAGCCAAGGAUUGCGUAGGAGGGUAAGUUCACCCCUUUGGUUUUUAGAAGCUUCGUGUUGUCCUUGUUUCAAUGAUGUGAUGAUGAGGACGGCGACAAUAAUGAUUAUACUAUAUAGUAUUUUUCUUGAUAUUAAUUUUACGUUAAUCCUUGUUUAAAAAAUCAAAGAAGCACAAAAAGGUCAAAUAAUGAUUCACAGGCCUUGUUUUACUACAGACAUGUAUCACUUCGCAAUGUUGUUGAGAGAAUUUUUGGUGUUCUAAAGAAAAGACUUCGGAUUUUUCAUGGAAUGAAUAAUUAUCUGUUGGAGAAACAAGCUCGGAUUGUUAUGGCAUGUUAUGUACUUCAUAAUUUUAUCAGAAGGUAAAAUAUGCAAGAUGAAAUCUUCAAACAGUAUACUGCGGAAGUAUAUUUGCAUGACCAAAACAAGGCAGCUAAUGAAGGAAAUGGGGAGGGAUUGAGUCAAUUGCAGCAACGUAUUAUUGAUGACAUGGCGCAUGUGCGAGAUAACAUAACAACUGAAAUGUGGGAACAACAUAUGACCAAUGUCGUAGUUGUUAAUAGAGUAUAGUUGUAUAAACGAUAUGUAAGGGUUGACAAUCAGUAAUUUCGUCAGAGA